rnacentral:tRNA from 1 species
GGUGCGGUAGUUCAGAUGGUUAGAAUAUCGGCUUGUCACGCCGGAGGUCGCGGGUUCGAAUCCCGUCCGCACCG